rnacentral:tRNA from 1 species
GGGCCCGUGGUCUAGCUCGGUAUGACGUCUCCUUGACGUGGAGAAGGUCGUGCGUUCAAAUCGCACCGGGCCCACCA